AUUGAACGCUAGCGGGAUGCUUUACACAUGCAAGUCGAACGGCAGCGCGGACUUCGGUCUGGCGGCGAGUGGCGAACGGGUGAGUAAGGUAUCGGAACGUGCCCAGUAGCGGGGGAUAACUACGCGAAAGCGUAGCUAAUACCGCAUACGCCCUACGGGGGAAAGCAGGGGAUCGUAAGACCUUGCACUAUUUGAGCGGCCGAUAUCGGAUUAGCUAGUUGGUUAGGUAACGGCUCACCAAGGCGACGAUGCGUAGCUGGUUUGAGAGGACGACCAGCCACACUGGGACUGAGACACGGCCCAGACUCCUACGGGAGGCAGCAGUGGGGAAUUUUGGACAAUGGGGGAAAGCCUGAUCCAGCAAUCCCGCGUGUGCGAUGAAGGCCUUCGGGUUGUAAAGCACUUUUGGCAGGAAAGAAAAGUCGCGGGAUAAUACACGGUGGAACUGACGGUACCUGCAGAAUAAGCACCGGCUAACUACGUG
rnacentral:rRNA from 1 species